UCGAUUUAUAGUGGUUUGGCCCCAAUUGCCUACUCAAUUACCUUAGCUUUCCACAACUAAGAAUUUUCUCAAAUUCACUAAUUUGAUAACUUUAAGGACAAGAUUUAACCUUACAAUCUCCCUUAAGAUUUCUACCCAAAAUCUUAAUAUUUCAACUCCCUUAAGGUUUCUACUCAAACCUUAAUACUCAACCCUCUCAAAGAGUAAGUACAAAUAGCAAACUAAGAAGUAAUCCUUAUAAGAUCAGAAUGUUUGCCAAUUAAGCACAAAUAAACAAGAAUACACUUGAGCUAAAGAAUAAGAAUGAAGGCUCACAAGUGUGUAUAAAAAUAGUAUGAAAGAAUUAAGCACUGAGGUUGUAUUGAUUGAACUUUUGACUUGAUGAUUUUUCUUUUUUGUAAGACCUUUGGAAGAUGGUAUUUAUACUCUCAAAUUCAUUUCCAAUCGUUGUGGUUGUUGGAAACAUAAAUAGAGCUGUUGGGAUGAAAAUGCCAUAUCACUAAAUUCACCUACAACAAAAGGUAUCGAUAUUUUUUCUACGAGUAUCGAUACUAUUAGCAUUUAAUGUUUAAUUUAGUGACCAUUAAAGUUAGUUUACAAAGAUAUUGUAAUAGGCCCAAUUUGCCCGGCCCGUUAAUAAAAUAAACCAAGCCAAAGUUUAAAAGUCCAUAGUCCAAAUACAUGGGCCCAACGUGGCCCAAAUCAUUUUUACCUAAUUACAUACCAGAAAUUAAACCCAAAACCUACUAAAGUCCAAACCAGCUAACCCUAGCCCAAUAUUGGAGGCCCAACAACUUAGCCUAGCUGAGAAAUAAACCUUAGACAGUAAACUCCAGCGCCGCAGCAGAGCCAGGCCUCCUCUCGCGCGUGCGCCACCACACCUUCAAGCUGCUCCUCGCACGCGUCACUGUACGGCCUCCGUACACCUGCAACGACCUGCAGCAAACGAAACCAAGCAGCAAGCAGAGGCGUAAUAGUACAACAAAAUUGACAGAGAAUGAAAAAUUGUAACAAGAAAGAAAAACAGAAAAGGAGGGAUUUUUGUAUUUCUUUUUGGGCUAUAUAAGGCCAAACACAAAAUUUGUAUAAGGGGCACGAACAUUGUAAAAAAAAAAAUAGAAUCAGAAAGCAAUAAAAAAAUCAAAAGUUCAAAGAGGUGAUUUUCUUCGUUUUUUUUAUUAUUUUUUUGAUUCUUUGUUUUCUUCUUUGGCACCAAACGGAAAUAAAAGAGGAGGAGAAGGGAGGUUUUUACCUUCGCUGGUGCGCCACCAAAAUCCUCGUCCAUUCUGUUUAAAUCAGAGCCGGAUGGGGAUUUUAGGGUUUGAAAUAUAAAAUAAAGGAGAAAAGGGGGAGACUUACCUGGUGAUCGCGCCUUCGCUAACUCCGCCGUAAUCGGAGUCUGGCGAAAGGUGAGAGGUCUCCUCUUUGAACAUUGCGGCUAUGGCAUCCAAAGUGGCUGAAAA
rnacentral:lncRNA from 1 species